UAAUUAUGGUGAUUUAGGCAUGUGAUUUUGGUUAGAGAAAGGUGUUGUGGGGACUUGGGGAGUCUUGUCCUAUCCUUCUGUAUUUGUGAAAAAACUUUGAAAUAAGGAAUUAACGGAGGUUAAACGGGACACACUGCAAACACAAACUAAACGUUAACAUGUUUACAGCUCCUCUACGAUUCCGCAAUCUUAUCUCCAUCCCUUUUUUUUAUCGUCUUUCUCUUCUUCCUUGGAUUCCCUUUCUAUUUUCAAUUAAUUUAAUUGAUAAUAUUA
rnacentral:lncRNA from 1 species